rfam:Bombyx mori DNA, contig: Bm_scaf147_contig39997, strain: p50T/Dazao, build 2, whole genome shotgun sequence.
UUAACUCAAAUUUGUUUGUAGUUGGAACGUUUGCCUACGUUUGCCGCUAGGGGCGCUGUUCCAACUGCAUACAAACUUGAGUUA